rnacentral:rRNA from 1 species
AUUGAACGCUGGCGGCAGGCUUAACACAUGCAAGUCGAGCGGGGUGAUGGUGCUCGCACUAUCACUUAGCGGCGGACGGGUGAGUAAUGCUUAGGAAUCUGCCUAUUAGUGGGGGACAACAUCUCGAAAGGGAUGCUAAUACCGCAUACGUCCUACGGGAGAAGGCAGGGGAUCACUUGUGACCUUGCGCUAAUAGAUGAGCCUAAGUCGGAUUAGCUAGUUGGUGGGGUAAAGGCCUACCAAGGCGACGAUCUGUAGCGGGUCUGAGAGGAUGAUCCGCCACACUGGGACUGAGACACGGCCCAGACUCCUACGGGAGGCAGCAGUGGGGAAUAUUGGACAAUGGGGGGAACCCUGAUCCAGCCAUGCCGCGUGUGUGAAGAAGGCCUUAUGGUUGUAAAGCACUUUAAGCGGGGAGGAGGCUCUUUUGGUUAAUACCCAAGAUGAGUGGACGUUACUCGCAGAAUAAGCACCGGCUAACUCUGUGCCAGCCGCCGCCGUAA